CGCCAAUCAGACACUCCUCCCCCCAGGACCCCACCCCGGAGACCUCCCAGCAGUCAAAUGGGCCUUGAGGUCUCUUUCCUGAUGACUUCUAUUUGCAGGCGUCAGGCUUGUUGCUUCCCACGUCCCCCCCGACCCCCAUCAGACCGGACUCUGGCUCUCCUCUCCUCCCGCACCUCCCCCACCCCGCCCUGUGCCCGGUGGCUGCCCCCGGCGCACGGACAGUGCCCCCUCCGCCUCUCUGCUCCCCGGGAGUGCCGGCAGUGCCCGGGCAAGGCCAGAAGCCCAGGCUAGGCCCCCUCCGUGGGCGCGCCAGGUUCUGUGCCGCGUCGUCCUUCCCCUCCUUGGGCACCGGCUCUGAACCUGCCCGGCCAGAAACCGAACCCGUUUUCAGGAGGAGCGCCUGCGGGCGUGCUGGCUCCACGCGCGGCUCUCGGGGCGGCCGGGUUCGGGCGUGUGCGUUUCCAGGCGCCUCUGUCCCCAGCGGGAGGAGCGGCUGUGGAGGGGGCCUGCUGGCGGCUCACCCCAGGCCCGGAGGGUUCGGGAACUAAACCUGCAUCUGGUGUCAAAACCCCUUUUUGCCCACCCUGGCACUGACGUUAAGCAUGCAUCUUUUUUCCCUGAAGUUUUUUUUCCGUAGAAGACAUACUGGGUAAAUUAGAAACAUGUUUGAGAAAGGAGUGAGCGGCGAACGCUGGCAUCUAAACAACACAAAAGUGCCCACGCCAGGCCACACGCCCAGGCGGCCGCGGCCUCGGCGGCGGCGCAGCGCCCCCUGGCGGCCGCGCGGGGCCCCUACCGAGCCGCCCCCGGCCGUGUCCCCUCACCUCCCCUCACCUCCCACGCUCCUGAGCCGGGAGCAGCCGGGAGGGCCAGGGAGACCCCUGCUCCCCCAAGUCAGAGCAACAGUGGGACACUUUGGGAGGAAGGGAAUGAAAGGAGUCCAACGCCAAGGUCCUGGGGGAUGCUUUCUGUGGUUUCGUGGCUGGCGCCGAAGUCAAGAACCUAGGGAAGGAGCCAACAUAAAAGAAAACCCUUGAUCCAUUUUCAAUGAAUGCCUGAAAUUCUACCAAUCCAGCAUCAUCCCUUCACCUGCAGGCUUUGAUUCCUUUUAAAAUGCAAAUGCCUCAAGGAAGGGGAACCCUUAAAACAAGGGCAGAUGGCAGGCUACAUCAAGAAAUCACCAACGUCACCAAAGAGACAUGAUUACGCCAUGAUGUGUACAUACUAUAUGGUAAUGGCGUUUAAUAAGCAGCGUUUAAUCUUUUUUUUAUUCCUGUUGUUGGUUGUCCAGGCAUCCUUUUGUACUCUGACAAGCAGUGUUUCUUCAGGAUGCCCCGCCCGCAGUGGCCAGACCCUCUAGUUCAGUUGCUCCAAGUUUUCUUACCCUUUGCAUCCUAAACCUUUCUCCAAUCAUUCUACUUCCCAUUCUCACAAUCCUGCUUGAUUGGAGGUUCACAGCAUCUUAUCGCUAGUCCCAAUCAUUGCAGUAGCCCAGUGGGAGUAUCUGGAUCCCUUCCAUAGCACACAGGGUCCUGGGGAAGUUCAAGAGAGUCUCUCAAGUCCUUUCUGUACAAUACGCAACACCACUGAAUCUGUCAAGAGGCGGCUGCCUUGUGCUGGUGGUGGGGUGGGGGGACUGUCUUCCCAAAGUCAGCAGAGAACCCCUGCUUUCGGCUUCCCAUCAUCUAUCUGGAAUUUCUCUCCUCUUGCCACUCCUCCAUCUGGCAGAAGCCAGAAGUAGGGGUGCUGGGUUUCUGAAGGACCCAGGCAGGGUCUUUCCCGCUUCUCCCCUUUGUCCUCUGAAUCCGUCUUUUUCCUGCUCAUAGGGUUUCUACUUAGCCAUACUGUCCGGUGGGAAUGCCUCCAACUCCAGAGCUUCCUCUUCUUUCAAGUGUCUCCUGCUGUAUCAGUUAUCUGUUGCUACAAAACGAGCCACCCAGUGGCUUACACUCAGUAGCUUAAAACAAUAAACAUUUAUUUGCUCAUGACUCUGUGGGUCGGCUGGGCGGUUCUUCUGGCUUGGCUCUGCUGGGCUCACUGUGUUUGUGGUGAGCUGGCAGGUCAUCGGAUGGUUUAAGAUGGCCUCCCUCACACAUCUGGUGGUUGGCAGGCUGUCAGCUGGGGUGAAAGGGUGACCCGGCCACGUGUCUCUCAUCUAGCAGGCUAGCCUACCCCAGGCUUCUUCCAAUGGCAGUAGGCUUCCACGGAUGGGAAGAGCAAAAGCUACAAGACUUCUUGAGCCCCAGGCUUGGAACGGACGCACCUUCCCUUCCACCGCAUUCUCUUCAUCAAAAUGUUCCUCCCACCUUCACCUGCACCCAGCACUUCAGGCAUGACCUAGAACUGGAUUCUGUACAAAUGCCAUUUGCAGAG
rnacentral:lncRNA from 10 species